CCUACGGGGGGCAGCAGUGAGGAAUAUUGGUCAAUGGGGGGAACCCUGAUGCAGCGACGCCGCGUGGGUGAAGAAGCGCCUCGGCGCGUAAAGCCCUGUCAGCAGGGAAGAAAAUGACGGUACCUGAAGAAGAAGCCCCGGCGAACUACGUGCCAGCAGCCGCGGUAAUACGUAGGGGGCAAGCGUUAUCCGGAUUUACUGGGUGUAAGGGGAGCGUAGACGGUAUGGCAAGUCUGAAGUGAAAGCCCAGGGCUUAACCCUGGGACUGCUUUGGAAACUGUUAGACUAGAGUGCUGGAGAGGGAAGUGGAAUUCCUGGUGUAGCGGUGAAAUGCGUAGAUAUUAGGAGGAACACCAGUGGCGAAGGCGGCUUACUGGACAGUAACUGACGUUGAGGCUCGAAAGCGUGGGGAGCAAACAGGAUUAGAUACCCGGGUAGUC
rnacentral:rRNA from 1 species